rnacentral:lncRNA from 1 species
GAAGAGUGUCCAUUGUCAAUUGGUGUUUGUUGGUGGUCUCCUAAACAUUAAUUAUCCUUUCUCCUCUCAUCAGCUUUAAUUUCCUGGAAGGAUUCUUGUGGUUCAGGAGAAGCUGAUACCACCCCAUGUUCUGAGGGUGAAGCCUGGGGCCUGGGUUUGGCCAAUCAGCACAUUUCAUGACCCUGGCCAGGGUAGCUGCUUCAUAGGUGGGCAUCCAUUGAGCCAGUUCAAAUGAAAGGAAGCACUGGACUUGUGCUGGGCCAGAGAUUCUCCUUUUUUUGAGGAAGGGUGUAGCUCUGGGAUCCAUGUUUAAGAUGAAGACUACAUGGGCAGGGUGGUGUGUGCUUGUAAUCCCAGACACUUGAGAGGCUGAGGUGGGAGGAUUGCUUGAGGCCACUUGUUUGAGACCAGCCUGGGCAACAUAGUGAGACUUCGUCUCAAAGUAAAAGAGAAAAAGAUGAAGACUACACUCAGGAAAGCUAAGCAGAGAAAUGGAAAGAAAAUGGGUUCCUGCAGAUGUGGCUACAUCCUUGAUCAAUUCUUGGCCCAGUAAGAGAUUAUCUCCAGAUCUCCAGACUUUCCAAUUUCAUAAAUUUAUUUUAUUGUUUGGUAACAAGUAACUGUUGUGUUACUUGCAACCAAAAGCAUCCUUACUGACCUACGUUUUCUUCCCAUCCCUUGGGGGUUGCUGCUCUGCAGAGGGUUAUCUUUGGCUCUUUUCUUCUCACUUCCAUACUUGCCCUGGGCACUUUGGUUUUCUUCUAUGACUUAACUUUCCUUUGUUUUCUCCAGCUCACGCAUCUCUCUUGCAUUCUCUAUCUGUAGAACUGGAUGCUUGCUGGACAUUUCCACUUGGAUGUCUGGGUAGCACCAAAAUCCUGAUAUGUCCCAAGAUGAGCAGAACUCAUCUUCACCUUGUAAGCUGCUUUUCCUCUUGUCUUCUCUCUUUUGUUUGUUGAUUAGCAUUGCCAUCAUCCUGGUUUCUCUAGCUAAAGCCCGGGCAAGUUCUUGUCCUCUCCUUCUCUCUCACUUCUCCCCCUGCCCAUGAACUUAUUCACUCAUUCUGGUUAAUACUUUCCCCCUAGUUAACUCUCAAAAGGAUCUGCCAUUAUCCAUGGUCACUGCUAUUGCUCUAGUCAUAGCACCACCAUACCAAUAUGAACCCUCUCAAUACCCCUAUCUCUAAUCUUGCCCAUCCACUCAAGAGCCAGAGGGAUCCUUCCAAAGUAAGGUCCUUCCUUUGCUUAAAAUCUUUAGUGACUCUUUAUCAUCCAGAGAAUCAGCAACACUUCUCAUAAUGUGGCCCAGACCCAGCUCAGGGUUUCUUUCCCACUUUUCCUCCCAUAUCCUGGCUUUAUUUACAAUUCACGGUGUUAUAAGCCAUCCCUGCUCUCCACGACAUUUGCACGUGGUUCUUUGCAUGUGCUGUGUCCUUUUUCUGAAAUGUCCUCCCUCACCUCCUUUCCUUUUAUCUUCUUGGCUAUCUUCUGUUUGACCUUCAGGACUCAGCUUAGGGGGCUACUUUCUUCUGGAGGCAUCUACAGAUCCCU